AAUAUCAAAGGUGAGCCAGUACAGGAUGGACCCGCGUCUGAUUAGCUAGUUGGUAAGGUAACGGCUUACCAAGGCGACGAUCAGUAGCCGACCUGAGAGGGUGAUCGGCCACAUUGGAACUGAGACACGGUCCAAACUCCUACGGGAGGCAGCAGUGGGGAAUAUUGCACAAUGGGCGAAAGCCUGAUGCAGCAACGCCGCGUGAGGGAUGAAGGCCUUCGGGUCGUAAAACUCUGUCCUCAAGGAAGAUAAUGACGGUACUUGAGGAGGAAGCCCCGGCUAACUACGUGCCAGCAGCCGCGGUAAUACGUAGGGGGCUAGCGUUAUCCGGAUU
rnacentral:rRNA from 1 species